CUUCACGUUCCCACGUGCCCUAGUGAUUAAGAGAACCGGAAGAGUCCUGUUAAUCCACAAGGACCCCUGGAGUCUGUCACCAUGGGGCGAGAGUGUAGACAGGGACAGAUGGAGGGGGAGUGUCACCGUCCUGGCUGGUGAAACCCAGUGAUCAGCCACAGGAAGUGAGGGGCAGAGCCUGGGGUCAGCUGGCCUGAGGAUGCUGGUGGAACGCCUCACCUCACACCCUCCAGAGAAGCAGGACCAUCCAGUGGGAGGAAGGAAGGGACAGUAGAGCCUAAGAAGGAAACACAGGGUGCACGUGGUGAUAAGGAGGACCCAAACAGGUGCCCUGAACUGUCAACAGAUCCUGAGUAGUGGGCCAGGUGUCGUGGUGCGGACCUGUAAUCCCAGCGACUCAGGAGGCUGAGGCAGGAGGAUCACAAGCUCAAAGCCAAUCUCAGCAAUUUAGUGAGACCCUAAGCAACUUAGCGAGGCUCUGUCUCAAAAAAUAAAAAGGGGCUGGGGAUGUGGCUCAGGGAGUAAGCACCCCUGGGUUCAAUCUUCAGUACCUGCCCCCCACCAAAAAAAAAAAGACCCUACUAAUGGACUAAUGAGAGGAGAAAAAGGACCCAACUAAUCCACUUUAAAAGUCAUGCCGAGGAAGGCUGGGUAGGAGUUUUAGUAUUUCAAGGUGACAAGACUGUCUAUACACACACAAACACACACACACACACACACACACACACAUGAGAGGUUCAGAAUUCACAGAGCAAUGGUGGGUAAAACAGGAAGAAAUAAAUCAUCUUACCUGGUGGUUUUACUGUGCUCUUUACAAAAACCAAGAGUUUAGGCAAAUCAGACGGCGAGGGUCGAACCUGAGUAAGCUAAGUGCGUCCCCAGGUGCGUUUUAUUCAUGUGUCACACACAUUCACACUCACUCCUGUGAACCUUGUACUCAGCAUGGAUUGAAGUGGAACAUUUAAGAAAACCAAACUUUCCUUCUUUGAAGACUAAUAAGAAAAAAAAGCGUAGAAGACUGAUGAUUUUGAACAUGAAAAAAGAAAAACAAUACAGAAGAAGAAGGGAGAAUAAACCCACCUGUGGUAGAGAGUGAAACAUAAAAAAAGAUCAAGAGUCUUUAAAAC
rnacentral:lncRNA from 1 species